rnacentral:rRNA from 1 species
GAUGAACGCUGGCGGCGUGCCUAAUACAUGCAAGUCGAGCGAACGGACGAGAAGCUUGCUUCUCUGAUGUUAGCGGCGGACGGGUGAGUAACACGUGGAUAACCUACCUAUAAGACUGGGAUAACUUCGGGAAACCGGAGCUAAUACCGGAUAAUAUUUUGAACCGCAUGGUUCAAAAGUAAAAGACGGUCUUGCUGUCACUUAUAGAUGGAUCCGCGCUGCAUUAGCUAGUUGGUAAGGUAACGGCUUACCAAGGCAACGAUGCAUAGCCGACCUGAGAGGGUGAUCGGCCACACUGGAACUGAGACACGGUCCAGACUCCUACGGGAGGCAGCAGUAGGGAAUCUUCCGCAAUGGGCGAAAGCCUGACGGAGCAACGCCGCGUGAGUGAUGAAGGUCUUCGGAUCGUAAAACUCUGUUAUUAGGGAAGAAUAUAUGUGUAAGUAACUGUGCACAUCUUGACGGUACCUAAUCAGAAAGCCACGGCUAACUACGUGCCAGCAGCCGCGGUAAUACGUAGGUGGCAAGCGUUAUCCGGAAUUAUUGGGCGUAAAGCGCGCGUAGGCGGUUUUUUAAGUCUGAUGUGAAAGCCCACGGCUCAACCGUGGAGGGUCAUUGGAAACUGGAAAACUUGAGUGCAGAAGAGGAAAGUGGAAUUCCAUGUGUAGCGGUGAAAUGCGCAGAGAUAUGGAGGAACACCAGUGGCGAAGGCGACUUUCUGGUCUGUAACUGACACUGAUGUGCGAAAGCGUGGGGAUCAAACAGGAUUAGAUACCCUGGUAGUCCACGCCGUAAACGAUGAGUGCUAAGUGUUAGGGGGUUUCCGCCCCUUAGUGCUGCAGCUAACGCAUUAAGCACUCCGCCUGGGGAGUACGACCGCAAGGUUGAAACUCAAAGGAAUUGACGGGGACCCGCACAAGCGGUGGAGCAUGUGGUUUAAUUCGAAGCAACGCGAAGAACCUUACCAAAUCUUGACAUCCUUUGACAACUCUAGAGAUAGAGCCUUCCCCUUCGGGGGACAAAGUGACAGGUGGUGCAUGGUUGUCGUCAGCUCGUGUCGUGAGAUGUUGGGUUAAGUCCCGCAACGAGCGCAACCCUUAAGCUUAGUUGCCAUCAUUAAGUUGGGCACUCUAAGUUGACUGCCGGUGACAAACCGGAGGAAGGUGGGGAUGACGUCAAAUCAUCAUGCCCCUUAUGAUUUGGGCUACACACGUGCUACAAUGGACAAUACAAAGGGCAGCGAAACCGCGAGGUCAAGCAAAUCCCAUAAAGUUGUUCUCAGUUCGGAUUGUAGUCUGCAACUCGACUACAUGAAGCUGGAAUCGCUAGUAAUCGUAGAUCAGCAUGCUACGGUGAAUACGUUCCCGGGUCU